rnacentral:rRNA from 1 species
GUGCCAGCAGCCGCGGUAAUACGUAGGGGGCAAGCGUUAUCCGGAAUUACUGGGUGUAAAGGGUGCGCAGGCGGCAUCGCAAGUUUGAUGUGAAAUCCAUGGGCUUAACCCGUGGCAUGCAUCGAAAACUACGGAGCUAGAGUGCAGGAGAGGAAAGCGGAAUUCCUAGUGUAGCGGUGAAAUGCGUAGAUAUUAGGAGGAACACCAGUGGCGAAGGCGGCUUUCUGGACUGCAACUGACGCUCAGGCACGAAAGCGUGGGGAGCAAACAGGAUUAGAUACCCUGGUAGUCCACGCUGUAAACGAUGAAUACUAGGUGUUGGGGUCUAAGACCUCGGUGCCGCAGUUAACGCAAUAAGUAUUCCACCUGGGGAGUACGAUCGCAAGAUUGAAACUCAAAGGAAUUGACGGGGCCCCGCACAAGCGGUGGAGCAUGUGGAUUAAUUCGACGCAACGCGAAGAACCUUACCAGGCUUUGACAUCCUCCUGAAUACUUCAGAGAUGAGGUAGGCCUUCGGGACAGGAGAGACAGGUGGUGCAUGGUUGUCGUCAGCUCGUGUCGUGAGAUGUUGGGUUAAGUCCCGCAACGAGCGCAACCCUUAUUGACAGUAGCCAGCAAGUAAGGUUGGGAACUCUGUUAAGACUGCCGGGGAUAACUCGGAGGAAGGUGGGGAUGACGUCAAAUCAUCAUGCCCCUUAUAGCCUGGGCUUCACACGUGCUACAAUGGCUGUCACAAAGAGAAGCGAACCCGCGAGGGAGAGCAAAGCUCAAAAAGGCAGUCUCAGUUCGGAUUGCAGGCUGCAACCCGCCUGCAUGAAGCUGGAAUCGCUAGUAAUCGCAAAUCAGCAUGUUGCGGUGAAUACGUUCCCGGGGCUUGUACACACCGCCCGU